AGAGCGAACGCUGGCGGCAGGCCUAACACAUGCAAGUCGAGCGCCCGUAGCAAUACGGGAGCGGCAGACGGGAUAGUAACACGUGGGAACGCGCCCUUCGGUUCGGAAUAACUCAGGGAAACUUGAGCUAAUACCGAAUACGCCCUUACGGGGAAAGAUUUAUUGCCGAAGGAACGGCCCGCGUCCGAUUAGCUAGUUGGUGAGGUAAUGGCUCACCAAGGCUACGAUCGGUAGCUGGUCUGAGAGGAUGACCAGCAUCACUGGGACUGAGACACGGCCCAGACUCCUACGGGAGGCAGCAGUGGGGAAUAUUGGACAAUGGGCGAAAGCCUGAUCCAGCCAUGCCGCGUGGAUGAUGAAGGCCUUAGGGUUGUAAAGUCCUUUAACGGGAAGAUAAUGACGGUACCGUAGAAUAAGCCCGGCUAACUUCGCGCCAGCAGCCGC
rnacentral:rRNA from 1 species